rnacentral:lncRNA from 1 species
AUCAGAACAACUUUGGCUGUGGUAGUUGAAACCUAAGUUUUUAACAAUUUUAAAAUUCAUAAACAGACAAUUUUAGAAAGGUUUGUUAUAAAUCAUGUCAGUACCAAACUGACUACUGGUAAAUUGCACCGCAGAUAUAUAGUAUGUAUUUUUUUUCAUAUAUCCUAUGUAUAUGUGACAAAAUUACUUUUACAACAAUUUGUAUCGUUAUCAGAUUUCAGGUAACCAAUUGGACCAUUAAAUGACAGGAUCAUUUGAUGAACGAUAUUAUUUAGACCGAUUAAAUACCGGGAUUAAGUGGAGUUACAUCAUGCAUAUAAUUUGGUAUUUCAAUGCACUGACCUAUAGCAAUGCUACGUGAAUUGUUUUAAAAUAGUCACAAAGCAAUCAAUGCAAAUAAAGUUGCGUGUUGUCAAAUAUUCGUACGGUUCAAUUUCUGAUAAAUAAGGUAUAAGGUAUUCACGUUUUAUAUAAUAAGAAAAACAAAACAAACUAGAUUUGCUAUUGCAAGCAAUAGCGGAGGAUGGCACCCCGUACUGGACAUUGUCACAGUAGCAUCAACAAUUAUAAGUGUACAAAAGUCAAAUGGCAUAUCUAUUAUACAUGUCGGAAUCAGCAUUUCUGAACCUCCC